ACGACGCUGGCGGCGUGCCUAAUACAUGCAAGUCGAACGGUCUUUCUAUGGAAGCUUGCUUCCACUGAGAAGAUAGUGGCGAACGGGUGAGUAACACGUGGGUAACCUGCCCAUAAGAGGGGGAUAACAUCCGGAAAUGGGUGCUAAUACCGCAUAGUUUUCUUGAUCGCAUGAUUGAGAAAGGAAAGACGGCCUUUGUGCUGUCGCUUAUGGAUGGACCCGCGGCGUAUUAGUUAGUUGGUGAGGUAACGGCUCACCAAGACGAUGAUACGUAGCCGACCUGAGAGGGUGAUCGGCCACAUUGGGACUGAGACACGGCCCAAACUCCUACGGGAGGCAGCAGUAGGGAAUCUUCCGCAAUGGACGAAAGUCUGACGGAGCAACGCCGCGUGAGUGAAGAAGGUUUUUCCGGAUCGUAAAACUCUGUUGUCAGAGAAGAACAAGUUGGAGAGUAACUGCUCCAGCCUUGACGGUAUCUGACCAGAAAGCCACGGCUAACUACGUGCCAGCAGCAGC
rnacentral:rRNA from 1 species